AAGAUGUGCCAACGACGCUGAGAAAACGAGAAACAACGACACCGAGAACCACCGAGGGCUGUGCCCCAUUGGGCCCCAUUGGGGUCCCCGUGCUUUGCGCCAUCACCGCCAUCACCGAGGACCGCCGACACUGACAACUGCCGACACGGAGAGGGCCCUAUUGGGGUCCCCGUGCUUCGCGCCGACAUGUUGGACCGUCGCAUCGACACCGCCAACCGCCGACACACGGAGAACCACCAAGGGCUUCACCCGAGAGGGCCCCAUCGGGGUCCCGGUGCUUCGCGCCAUCACCGAGGACCGCCGACACUGACAACCGCUGACACCGCCAACCGCCGACACGGAGAGGGCCCUAUUGGGGUCCCCGGUGCUUCGCGCCAUCACCGAGGACCGCCGACACUGACAACCGCUGACACCGCCAACCGCCGACACGGAGAGGGCCCUAUUGGGGUCCCCGUGCUUCGCGCCGACACGGAGGACCGCAUCGACACCGCCAACCGCCGACAUGGAGAACCACCAAGGGCUUCACCCGAGAGGGCCCCAUUGUGGUCCGCCGACACCGCCGACCACCACCGCCGACCACCGACACUAAGGAUCAUCAAAAGCUGUGACCAAGAGGGCCCCAUUGGGGCCCUGGUGCUGCACCGGAAGAGAUGAGACACCAGGAGCCAUGCCUGGGGCUCCUUUGGGGGUGCCUGGUGCUGCAGUGGGAGGAAGUCUGGGAGGAAGUCCCAUUCACAGAGGAGCAAUAAGACAUGGGGGGCCAUACCCAGGCCCCUGCCAGGAUUGCUGUGCUAAAGUGAUGGGACACAGAGGAAGCAACCAGAUACCAGGAGCUGUGCCAGGGGCACAGGUACUAUGAGAAGCUGUGAGACACAGAAAGCAACAAGAUACAGAGGGCUGUACCAGGGGUCCUGGUGCUGCACCAGAAGUGAUGUGACACAGAGGAAGUGAUGAGAUACAUGAUGUCCUGGUUCUGGGUAAGGUGCUGAGGGACACACGGCUGGGUGAAACACACGCCUGAGUUGCCCCUGCCCACAGCCACAUGGCACUGACCAGGUGUGAGAGACAUCAGAGGACCCCCCCACCCCUGCAUCCACGAGUUGGUGGCUUGGCCUCUGGUGAACCAGUCCAGAGGGUGUGAGUAUGGGAGAGCUGGCCACUCCCCUCAUCUGAGCAAAGCAGGAGAGCUAGCCCUGGUGGCGAAUGCAUAGGAAAACAGGCAGACUGACCAACUCAUCUACUACCCAGGCACAGAUCCAGGGCUUUGAGUUGGCCCACCCUAACAUGUACCCCAUCUAAGAACUGCUGGAGCUAAUGGAGGUACAAGCCCUGCAGAACCAAAGCUGCAAGAUCUCCAUGACAUUCGACAACAGGAUAUCUGAGAGGAGUCCCAGUGCAGAUCCUAUAUUGAUAAUGUAGCAGAAGCCAGAGGCCUGGAACCAGACAAAUGACUCAUUGCAAAGAACAUUUACAAGUAAAGCCGUUUGGGCAAAAGGUUAUACUAUGUGACACCAUGACAAAUCACAGCUUCCAUUGUGACAGGGAGAUGAGUGGGAUUGGUAUGCAUGAUAUAAAAUUCACAAAGAUUCAAUAAAAAGUAAAAGAAAAAGGAAACUGGUCUAGUGUAAAAAAGAAUGGAGAGAAUAAUAGCUGAUAAAAUAUGUGAAGCUGAUUCUGGGCUUAAAAGUAAAAUAAAAACAUUUUGAGGUGA